rnacentral:rRNA from 1 species
ACCGGCGGACGGGUGCGUAACACGUGGGAAAAUACCUUUCGGUACGGAACAACUGAGGGAAACUUCAGCUAAUACCGUAUACGUCCUAACGGAGAAAGAUUUAUCGCCGAAGGAUUAGCCCGCGCUCGAUUAGCUAGUUGGUGAGGUAAUGGCUCACCAAGGCCACGAUCGAUAGCUGUUCUGAGAGGAAGAUCAGCCACACUGGGACUGAGACACGGCCCAGACUCCUACGGGAGGCAGCAGUUGGGAAUCUUGGACAAUGGGGGAAACCCUGAUCCAGCCAUGCCGCGUGAGUGAUGAAGGCCUUCGGGUUGUAAAGCUCUUUUACCCGGGAAGAUAAUGACUGUACCGGGAGAAUAAGCUCCGGCUAACUUCGUGCCAGCAGCCGCGGUAAUACGAAGGGGGCUAGCGUUGUUCGGAAUUACUGGGCGUAAAGCGCGCGCAGGCGGUUUUUCAAGUCAGUGGUGAAAGCCCGGAGCUCAACUCCGGAACUGCCAUUGA